GUGUGCGAUGAUACCAGCACUAAUGCACCGGAUCCCAUUCGAACACGACAGUUAAGUGUUCUUAGCAAGAGUAGUACUGGGACGGGUGAUCUCUUGGGAAUUCCUCGUGUUGCACCCC
rnacentral:rRNA from 1 species